AUUGAACGCUGGCGGCAGGCCUAACACAUGCAAGUCGAACGAGUGGCGGACGGGUGAGUAAUGUCUGGGAAACUGCCUGAUGGAGGGGGAUAACUACUGGAAACGGUAGCUAAUACCGCAUACCAUCGGAUGUGCCCAGAUGGGCUUAGCCAGUAGGUGGGGUAACGGCUCACCUAGGCGACGGUCCCUAGCUGGUCUGAGAGGAUGACCAGCCACUCUGUACCUGGGACACGGUCCAGAUUCCUACGAGAGGCAGCAGUGGGUAAGAUUGCACAAUGGACGCAAGCCUGAUGCAGCCCUUCCGCUUGUAUGAAGAAGGCCUUCGGGUUGUAAAGUACUUUCAUCGAGGAGGCGUUACUCGCAGAAGAAGCAUCGGCUAACUCCGUGCCAGCAGCCGCGGUAAUAC
rnacentral:rRNA from 1 species